GUGGGGAAUAUUGGACAAUGGGCGAAAGCCUGAUCCAGCCAUGCCGCGUGUGUGAAGAAGGUCUUCGGAUUGUAAAGCACUUUAAGUUGGGAGGAAGGGCAGUAAGUUAAUACCUUGCUGUUUUGACGUUACCGACAGAAUAAGCACCGGCUAACUUCGUGCCAGCAGCCGCGGUAAUACGAAGGGUGCAAGCGUUAAUCGGAAUUACUGGGCGUAAAGCGCGCGUAGGUGGUUUUGUAAGUUGGAGGUGAAAUCCCCGGGCUCAACCUGGGAACUGCCUCCAAAAAUGCAUGACUAGAGUACGGUAGAGGGUAGUGGAAUUUCCUGUGUAGCGGUGAAAUGCGUAGAUAUAGGAAGGAACACCAGUGGCGAAGGCGACUACCUGGACUGAUACUGACACUGAGGUGCGAAAGCGUGGGGAGCAAACAGGAUUAGAAACCCUUGUAGCCC
rnacentral:rRNA from 1 species